rnacentral:rRNA from 1 species
UGGGGAUUUUGGACAAUGGGCGAAAGCCUGAUCCAGCAAUGCCGCGUGUGUGAAGAAGGCCUUCGGGUUGUAAAGCACUUUUGUCCGGAAAGAAAUCCUUGGCUCUAAUACAGUCGGGGGAUGACGGUACCGGAAGAAUAAGCACCGGCUAACUACGUGCCAGCAGCCGCGGUAAUACGUAGGGUGCAAGCGUUAAUUGGAAUUACUGGGCGUAAAGCGUGCGCAGGCGGUUUGCUAAGACCGAUGUGAAAUCCCCGGGCUCAACCUGGGAACUGCAUUGGUGACUGGCAGGCUAGAGUAUGGCAGAGGGGGGUAGAAUUCCACGUGUAGCAGUGAAAUGCGUAGAGAUGUGGAGGAAUACCGAUGGCGAAGGCAGCCCCCUGGGCCAAUACUGACGCUCAUGCACGAAAGCGUGGGGAGCAAACAGGAUUNGAUACCCUGGUAGUCCACGCCCUAAACGAUGUCAACUAGUUGUUGGGGAUUCAUUUCCUAGUAACGUAGCUAACGCGUGAAGUUGACCGCCUGGGGAGUAC